GCGGGUGUGGUGGGCGGCCACAGCUGCCCUCAAUUCCAACUGAGUGCGGUCAAUUGAACUUUGAAGCAGUCAAAUCGGGUUCGACUCCCGGCACCCGCG